CUAUUUUUCCCUUUUUACAAUCUUUGCAAUAUAUUUUACAAUAGAAAUGCUUCUGUAUAUCAUAGACACGCC